rnacentral:misc_RNA from 1 species
GAUGAAGAACGCAGCGAAAUGCGAUAAGUAAUGUGAAUUGCAGAAUUCAGUGAAUCAUCGAAUCUUUGAACGCACAUUGCGCCCGGUAGUAUUCUGCCGGGCAUGCCUGUUCGAGCGUCAUUUCAACCAUCAAGCCCCAGCGCUUGUGUUGGGGGCCUGCGGCUGCCGCAGCCCCCUAAAAGCAGUGGCGGGCUCGCUAUCACACCGAGUGCAGUAGUUCAUCUUCUCUCCGGUCUUGUGAGGCGGGUUCCGGCCGUGAAACACCCCACUACAUUCAAGGUUGACCUCGGAUCAGGUAGGAGUACCCGCUGAACUUAAGCAUAUCAAUAAGCGGAGGA